GACUCGUGUGUACGGGGUAUAGUUCCUGGAAGGCAUUGCAAUUUCACGGGUCCUACCUGUUUGGCUGAGAAAUGAGAAGAGGCAAGUCAGGAGGAUGAAACAAAGCUCUCCACAUGCUUCACCUGGAUGCUGAAGAGCGCAGGAGUGAACACAUGAUGGGCAGAGUGAGAGCAGCUACUUCUCUGGGAGGAAACUGGCACAGAAAAGGUGACCUUGCCUAGGUGUUCAAGUGGCCAAGGAGAAGAUGGAAAUUCUAGGCAAUUCAACUUGCAGAGGCCAGAGCUAAACAUUACAUGGGUUGAUGUUAGAUGCUCAGGAACUGGAAAUCUGCCCCAUGGGAGAUAUGAAGGACAAAGGAGCACAAGAGUUAAGGAUAUUGAAAGAAAACAGAUGAAGUGCUGGUGCCUAAAAUCUAAAAGACAAAAACACAUUUUUUUAAAAAAAGACAGACAAUGGCUAUUUCUAUGUAUUGAGAUUUUUGGAUUUUUUUUUUUUAAAAGUUCUGUAUAUUUUCUGUAAUGCUCAACUAAAUUUUCCUGAGGCAAUGACCAUAACUAUCUUCCUGGCUGUAUCCUCAGAGCAUGGCAUGUAGGAGCUGCAAGAUAAAUAUUUAUUGAAUAAAUAAAUGUAUAAAUGCU